rnacentral:rRNA from 1 species
UCAGAUUGCAGGCUGCAACCCACCUGCAUGAAGUCGGAAUUGCUAGUAAUCGCGGAUCAGCAUGCCGCGGUGAAUACGUUCCCGGGCCUUGUACACACCGCCCGUCACACCAUGGGAGCCGGUAAUACCCGAAGUCAGUAGUCCAACCUCGUGAGGACGCUGCCGAAGGUAGGAUUGGCGACUGGGGUGAAGUCGUAACAAGGUAGC